UACAGAGGUCUCAAGCGUUUGUUCGGAUUCAUUGGGCGUAAAGGGUGCGUAGGUGGCGCUGUAAGUCAGGUGUGAAAUUUCGGAGCUUAACUCCGAAACUGCAUUUUGAUACUGCGGUGCUCGAGGACUGGAGAGGAGACUGGAAUUUUACGGGUGUAGCAGUGAAAAUGCGUAGAGAUCGUAAAGGGAAGACCAGUGGCGAAAGGCGGGGUCUCUGGACAGUU
rnacentral:rRNA from 1 species